rnacentral:rRNA from 1 species
GGUAACCUGCCUCAUACAGGGGGAUAACAGUUAGAAAUGACUGCUAAUACCGCAUAAGCGCACAGGGCUGCAUGGCCCGGUGUGAAAAACUCCGGUGGUAUGAGAUGGACCCGCGUCUGAUUAGCUGGUUGGAGGGGUAACGGCCCACCAAGGCGACGAUCAGUAGCCGGCCUGAGAGGGUGAACGGCCACAUUGGGACCGAGACACGGCCCAGACUCCUACGGGAGGCAGCAGUGGGGAAUAUUGCACAAUAGGGGAAACCCUGAUGCAGCGACGCCGCGUGAAGGAAGAAGUAUCUCGGUAUGUAAACUUCUAUCAGCAGGGAAGAAAACGACGGUACCUGACUAAGAAGCCCCGGCUAACUACGUGCCAGCAGCCGCGGUAAUACGUAGGGGGCAAGCGUUAUCCGGAUUUACUGGGUGUAAAGGGAGCGUAGACGGAAGAGCAAGUCUGAUGUGAAAGGCUGGGGCUUAACCCCAGGACUGCAUUGGAAACUGUUUUUCUAGAGUGCCGGAGAGGUAAGCGGAAUUCCUAGUGUAGCGGUGAAAUGCGUAGAUAUUAGGAGGAACACCAGUGGCGAAGGCGGCUUACUGGACGGUAACUGACGUUGAGGCUCGAAAGCGUGGGGAGCAAACAGGAUUAGAUACCCUGGUAGUCCACGCCGUAAAC